GACGAACGCUGGCGGCGUGCUUAACACAUGCAAGUCGAACGAGGUGGCGUACGGGUGAGUAACGCGUAAUCAACCUGCCCUUCAGAGGGGGACAACAGAUGGAAACGACUGCUAAUACCACAUACUGAAGGAGGGGAUGGCGUCUGCGUCGGUAGUUGGAGGGGUAACGGCCCACCAAGGCGAUGAUCAGGAGGCGGUCUGAGAGGAUGAACGGCCACAUUGGGACUGAGACACGGCCCAGACUCUUAAGGGAGGCAGCAGUGGGGAAUCUGCCGCAAUGGACGAAAGGCUGACGGAGCAACGCGGCGUGAGUGAUGACGGCCUUCGGGUUGUAAAGCUCUGUUAAUCGGGACGCGGUACCGGAAUAGAAAGCCACGGCUAACUACGUGCCAGCAGCCGCGGUAAUUC
rnacentral:rRNA from 1 species